rnacentral:rRNA from 1 species
GACUACAGACUGUUAGUCGAGCGUUCUCCAAGCUAUGAUGGAGGCGCGGCAUACAGCUCAGUAACACGUGGCUACCCUGCCCUUGGGACAAGGACAACCUCGGGAAACUGAGGUUAAUCCUUGAUAGGUGAGAACUCCUGGAAUGGAUUCUUGCUCAAAAGAUGCUUUGAUCAUGCUUCUAGGCAUCGCCCAAGGAGGGGGCCGCGGCCGAUCAGGUUGUUGGUAAGGUAACGGCUCACCAAGCCUUUGACCGGUACGGGCCGUGAGAGCGGAAGCCCGGAGAUGGGCACUGAGACAAUGGCCCAGGCCCUACGGGGCGCAGCAGUCGCGAAAACUCCGCAAUACACGAAAGUGUGACGGGGCCAUCCCGAGUGCCAUCCGCUGAGGAUAGCUUUUCCCCAGUGUAUAAAGCUGGGAGAAUAAGGAGAGGGCAAGCCUGGUGUCAGCCGCCGCGGUAAUACCAGCUCUCCGAGUGGUGGGGAUGUUUAUUGGGCCUAAAGCAUUCGUAGCCUGCUAGCCAAGUCCUCCGUUAAAUCCACCGAUUCAAUCGUUGGGCUGCGGGGGAUACUGUCUAGCUAGGGGGCGGAAGAGGCCGACGGUAUCCCCGGGGUAGGGGUGAAAUCCUAUAAUCCCGGGUGGACCACCAGUGGCGAAGGCUGUCGGCUAGAACGCGCUCGACGGUGAGGGAUGAAAGCUGGGGGAGCGAACCGGAUUAGAUACCCGGGUAGUCCCAGCUGUAAACGAUGCAGGCUAGGUGUUGGCGCGGCUACGUGCCGCUCCAGUGCCGCAGGGAAGCCGUUAAGCCUGCCGCCUGGGAAGUACGGCCGCAAGGCUGAAACUUAAAGGAAUUGGCGGGGGAGCACCAC